rnacentral:rRNA from 1 species
GGGGGGAGCAAGCGUUGUUCGGAUUUACUGGGCGUAAAGGGCGCGUAGGCGGUCAGCACAAGUCAGUUGUGAAAUCUCCGGGCUUAACCUCGGAAAGGUCAACUGAUACUGUGCGACUAGAGUGCAGAAGGGGCAACUGGAAUUCUCGGUGUAGCGGUGAAAUGCGUAGAUAUCGAGAGGAACACCUGCGGCGAAGGCGGGUUGCUGGGCUGACACUGACGCUGAGGCGCGAAAGCCGGGGGAGCGAACGGGAUUAGAUACCCCGGUAGUCCUGGCCUUAAACGAUGGAUGCUUGGUGUCUGGAGUUAUAUAGUCUCCGGGUGCCGCAGCUAACGCGUUAAGCAUCCCGCCUGGGGAGUACGGUCGCAAGACUG